CCUUCGAUAGCUCAGUUGGUAGAGCGGUGGACUGUAGUCGGUUAAUUAACGAAUUUGUCAGAAAUCCAUAGGUCGCUGGUUCAAAUCCGGCUCGAAGGA
rfam:Nasonia vitripennis chromosome 2, whole genome shotgun sequence.